GUUGUGGCUCAAUGGUAGAGUGCUUGCUUAGCAUGCACAAGGCACUGGGUUGGAUUCUCAGCAUUACA
rnacentral:tRNA from 1 species